UACGAAGGGGGCUAGCGUUGUUCGGAAUUACUGGGCGUAAAGCGCACGUAGGCGGCUUUGCAAGUCAGAGGUGAAAGCCCGGGGCUCAACCCCGGAAUUGCCUUUGAGACUGCAUCGCUAGAAUUGUGGAGAGGUAAGUGGAAUUCCGGGUGUAGAGGUGAAAUUCGUAGAUAUUCGGAAGAACACCGGUGGCGAAGGCGGAUCUCUGGGCCAUUACUGACGCUGAGGAGCGAAAGCGUGGGGAGCGAACAGG
rnacentral:rRNA from 1 species